CGGCGAGUGAAGCGGUAACAGCUCAAAUUUGAAAUCUGGCCUCACGGUCCGAGUUGUAAUUUGUAGAGGAUGCUUCGAGCAUGGUCUGGCCUAAGUUCCUUGGAACAGGACGUCAUAGAGGGUGAGAAUCCCGUAUGCGGCCAGGUGCCUACGCUCAUGUGAAGCUCCUUCGACGAGUCGAGUUGUUUGGGAAUGCAGCUCAAAAUGGGUGGUAAAUUUCAUCUAAAGCUAAAUAUUGGCCAGAGACCGAUAGCGCACAAGUAGAGUGAUCGAAAGAUGAAAAGCACUUUGGAAAGAGAGUUAAACAGUACGUGAAAUUGUUGAAAGGGAAGCGCUUGCAACCAGACUUGCGCGCGGCCGAUCAUCCGGUGUUCUCACCGGUGCACUCGGCCGUGCUCAGGCCAGCAUCGGUUUUGGCGGCUGGAUAAAGGCCCUAGGAAUGUAGCUCCUCUCGGGGAGUGUUAUAGCCUAGGGUGCAAUGCAGCCUGCUGGGACCGAGGACCGCGCUUCGGCUAGGAUGCUGGCGUAAUGGUUGUAAGCGGCCCGUCUUGAAACACGGACCAAGGAGUCUAACAUCUAUGCGAGUGUUUGGGUGUCAAACCCAUACGCGUAAUGAAAGUGAACGGAGGUGAGAACCCUUAAGGGUGCAUCAUCGACCGGUCCUGAAGUUUACGGAAGGAUCUGAGUAAGAGCAUAGCUGUUGGGACCCGAAAGAUGGUGAACUAUGCCUGAAUAGGGUGAAGCCAGAGGAAACUCUGGUGGAGGCUCGCAGCGGUUCUGACGUGCAAAUC
rnacentral:rRNA from 1 species